CAACACCUGGAACAGCGGAUUGUGGCUCAGGUUGCGCUCCGGUUGCAGCGCAUCGACCAGCUGUUCGAACGGCAGGUCCUGA
rnacentral:tRNA from 3 species